rnacentral:rRNA from 1 species
UACGUAGGGGGCUAGCGUUGUCCGGAAUCAUUGGGCGUAAAGCGCGUGUAGGCGGUCCGGUAAGUCCGCUGUGAAAGUCGAGGGCUCAACCCUCGAAUGCCGGUGGAUACUGUCGGGGCUAGAGUGCGGAAGAGGCGAGUGGAAUUCCUGGUGUAGCGGUGAAAUGCGCAGAUAUCAGGAGGAACACCUAUUGCGAAGGCAGCUCGCUGGGACGUAACUGACGCUGAGACGCGAAAGCGUGGGGAGCAAACAGG